GACGAACGCUGGCGGCGUGCUUAACACAUGCAAGUCGAACGGUAAGGCCCUUCGGGGUACACGAGCGGCGAACGGGUGAGUAACAUGUGGGUGAUCUGCCCUGCACUUCGGGAUAAGCCUGGGAAACUGGGUCUAAUACCGGAUAGGACUCCUGGCUUCAUGGUUGGGGGUGGAAAGCUUUUGCGGUGUGGGAUGGGCCCGCGGCCUAUCAGCUUGUUGGUGGGGUAAUGGCCUACCAAGGCGACGACGGGUAGCCGGCCUGAGAGGGUGACCGGUCACACUGGGACUGAGAUACGGCACAGACUCCUACGGGAGGCAGCAGUGGGGAAUAUUGCACAAUGGGCGCAAGCCUGAUGCAGCGACGCCGCGUGAGGGAUGACGGCCUUCGGGUUGUAAACCUCUUUCAGCUAUGACGAAGCGCAAGUGACGGUAGUAGCAGAAGAAGGACCGGCCAACUACGUGCCAGCCGCCGCAGUAA
rnacentral:rRNA from 1 species